GAUGUUUGUUUCUGGGAAUAAUUGCGAAAAACAGCGCAUGCGCACUGCUGGCCCUGCCCCCAAAGCUGCGAGUUGCAGACUGGAAGAGCGCAUGCGUGACGCCCUCUCCAAGCGCUGCCGUUGAGGAGCAUUUACUCAGUGAGUGGAAGAGGUUUGUUUGAAACAGACCGCAAUGGAGAGACCAGCGCCCAGGGAAGCGAGGGAACAGCAGACUCCUUCCAGCAGCACAUCGAGAUGUGAGCCUGGGACACAGAGGGGGCCUCCGAGACCGACGUUGAUUCGGGCUCAGUUCAGGGAGAACCGGGGUCUGUUUGUAAGAGGUCGAGCGGAGCAGGAACUGGUCCCGGAACUUGGAGCAAUUAUUUAAUGGACCAAGACAAUGUAAUCUUUCCUCAGUACAAAGGCAAAUGUGACCAGCUGCUUCUACCAACCAGGAGGUAUGUUACCUCUGUCAGAGCUGAGAACAUUCUUUCCACAGUCACAGAGUAGAUUGAGCCACUCCAGCUCCAAAAAGUUCCAUCAUUCAUAGCCAACUAUCAUUCACAACAUUUGAAGAGGGAUAGAUCAUGUCCUCAUCUGAAAUAUGCAUCCAAGAACUGCAUUAAAUUCACAUGUAGUAAAGGCAUUUUUAAAGUGAAAA